rnacentral:miRNA from 1 species
GGAGCUUGUUCCUGUCUUUGGUUAUCUAGCUGUAUGAGUGUUAAUCAUCCAUCAUAAAGCUAGAUAACCGAAAGUAGGAAUGGCCUCC